rnacentral:rRNA from 1 species
AUUGAACGCUGGCGGCAUGCCUUACACAUGCAAGUCGAACGGCAGCACGGAGCUUGCUCUGGUGGCGAGUGGCGAACGGGUGAGUAAUAUAUCGGAACGUACCCAAGAGUGGGGGAUAACGUAGCGAAAGUUACGCUAAUACCGCAUACGAUCUAAGGAUGAAAGCAGGGGACCUUCGGGCCUUGUGCUCCUGGAGCGGCCGAUAUCUGAUUAGCUAGUUGGUGAGGUAAAGGCUCACCAAGGCGUCGAUCAGUAGCUGGUCUGAGAGGACGACCAGCCACACUGGAACUGAGACACGGUCCAGACUCCUACGGGAGGCAGCAGUGGGGAAUUUUGGACAAUGGGGGCAACCCUGAUCCAGCAAUGCCGCGUGAGUGAAGAAGGCC